rnacentral:rRNA from 1 species
GUGCCAGCAGCCGCGGUAAUACCGGCAGCCCAAGUGAUGGCCGAUAUUAUUGGGCCUAAAGCGUCCGUAGCUGGCCGCGCAAGUCUCCCGGGAAAUCCACCCGCCCAACGGGUGGGCGUCUGAUGGAAACUGCACAGCUUGGGACCGGAAGGCUCGAAGGGUACGUUCGGGGUAGGAGUGAAAUCCCAUAAUCCCGCACGGACUACCGAUGGCGAAAGCACUUCGAGAAAACGGAUCCGACAGUGAGGGACGAAAGCCAGGGUCUCCAACCGGAUUAGAAACCCCUGUAGUCC